UACGUAGGUGGCAAGCGUUGUUCGGAAUUACUGGGGCGUAAAGGGCGCGUAGGCGGCCGUUUGCGUCGGAUGUGAAAGGCCCGGGGCUCAACCCGCGGAACGGCAUUCGAUACGGGACGGCUGGAGACCGGGAGAGGAGAGUGGAAUAGCCAGUGUAGAGGUGAAAUUCGUAGAUAUUGGCUGGAACACCGGUGGCGAAAGCGGCUCUCUGGCCCGGUUCUGACGCUGAGGCGCGAAAGCGUGGGGAGCAAACAGG
rnacentral:rRNA from 1 species